AUUGGAUGCAAAGUGAAAUGGAGACAGACACGUAUUUCUUCUACAUUGGUGAGUAGAGGACAAUACACAUUUAUAGCACAUAGAUGGUAUGUGGGCAACAAGAUAACAAAUUAG